CGACGAGUUUGAUCCUGGCUCAGAUUGAACGCUGGCGGCAUGCCUUACACAUGCAAGUCGAACGGUAACGGGUUAAGCCGACGAGUGGCGAACGGGUGAGUAAUAUAUCGGAACGUGCCCAGUCGUGGGGGAUAAUGUAGAGAAAUUUACGCUAAUACCGCAUACGAUCUAAGGAUGAAAGCGGGGGACCUUGUAGCAAUACGGGGCCUCGCGCGAUCGGAGCGGCCGAUGUCAGAUUAGGUAGUUGGUGGGGUAAAGGCUCACCAAGCCGACGAUCUGUAGCUGGUCUGAGAGGACGACCAGCCACACUGGGACUGAGACACGGCCCAGACUCCUACGGGGAGCAGCAGUGGGGAAUUUUGGACAAUGGGGGCGAAAGCCUGAUCCAGCAAUGCCGCGUGCAGGAUGAAGG
rnacentral:rRNA from 1 species